GCAUGUGAGGGCGAUCCGGCUGCGACAUCUGUCACCCCGUUGAGCGCCAGGGUUGACCCGGCCAAUCUGGCUGACUGGGCGGGUGUCCCCUUCCUGCCCCACGGCUCCAUGCGCAUCCCUCCCGAGGCUGCACGCUCAGCGGAAGAGGACAAACAUCCCCGCUAGAGGAGGACCGGUCUUUGGUCAAGGGUAUCCGAGUAGCUGGGCUCCCCUCUUAGAACCUCCAAACAAGCUCUCAAAGGAGACUUGGACGGGUGGAAGGAUGCUUUCACAGACGGCAGCCAGAG
rnacentral:snRNA from 1 species